rnacentral:lncRNA from 1 species
CUGCCAGCAGGGCAAAGGAAAAGGACACUAACUUUGAGCGCUUGUCUCAGAUCUCAUGUCAAUCCUGCAAGAUAUUGGAAUAUUCUUCAUAUAAUGCAGUAUCACUUCUGUAUGAAGCCACGUGUAACUUGUCCCCCUCCUUUCCAUCACGAGAACUACUGAAGAUGUAAACCAAAUCCAGCAGGGAAACCAGUGACAUUUGUGAACAGUAGACGGGAUUAAAGGAGCUGGACACACUCUUUCUUCAACAUCUGCCAUGAUAUGAUUUCACAAGCAAGAAACGUGCCAAGGCUUCUACCCAAGUAAGCUAUUAUUCAUUUAUUUCAUUGUUGAGGAAUGCCUUAAUAUGACUAGGAUAGAAAAAUUAUGUUGAUGUGCUUAUACAAGA